UAAAGAAAUAAUAAGUAGAUCUUAAAGAAACCUUAAAGAAAUCCAAAAGAAAUCCAUAAAAAAUCUUUAAAAAUAUUAGAAGAACCUUUAAUAAAUCUUAAAUAAAUCCUAAUCAAAUUUUAUUUAAAAUCCUAAUGAAAAUUCUAAUAGACCUUAAUUAAAUCGUAAGUCAAAUCCUAAAUAAAUCUUAAAUUCUAAAUCAAAUCUCUUUAAUAAAUCCUAAGCCUUUAAAUAAAUCUUAAAUCCUAAAUUUAAUCCUUAAAAAAUCUUAAAACUAAAAUAAAUCCUAAAUCUUAAAUCAAAUCCUAAACCAAACCCUAAUCAAAACCUAACCAAUUCAAACUAGUCCUAAAGUAGAUUGGAAUCCCAAUAUCUAUUAGUUAAAUUAUUGAUCUUGCUUAAAAAUUUAUACACCUC
rnacentral:lncRNA from 1 species